rnacentral:sRNA from 2 species
CAUGACCUAUCGCUGAGUUCCGUUUUUGGGAAGCGGAGGACCCAUGGUAAGUGGGGUGAAUCGAGAUUCUUAGAUCUCGUAGGGUAUCCUACACCCGAACCCGUCAGCUAACUCCGUAAGCGUUGUAGGAAGAUCAA